ACCUCCCCAAAACUGCCCCAAAUCGUUUUUGUAAAUUUCAACUCAUUUUUUCCCACAACUUUCCCAGCCAUAAUCUUUUUGGGGAUUAGUUCAAUUUAUGGCAGUCCCCAAAGGGCAAUAAGUUUAUGCAGGGAGGCUCCAUUGCAGUUAUACAUUGUACAUUUCACUGAGUUUGAUUUUUCUUUUCUUUAUUUUUGGUAAAAAAAAAAGGGGAAAAAUGAUAUAGCCCUAUGGGAUUUUUUAAAAUUUAUUUUUUAUCUUUUGUACUUUUUCUUGUAAUUAUAAACCUUAAACGUCUUUUUAACAUCUUAAAAAGAUGUUUUUUUAUUAUUAUUUUAAGUGAAUAUAUUUUCCAUUUUUACAAAGUUUAAUUUCAAGUUUAGCCCAACUUAGCGUCAGGGUCAUUGUUCUUUGUUUAUAUACAGAUAACAUGACAGGUGGACGAAAUUGAUUGGACGUAUGUGGGUAGGGUGUUAUGAAUGAACCCGUGGCUGUUGAACCAGGGAUCCAAACCGAGCCUCCAUCCGAAACUGCUAGGGCUACGCGUCAAAGAAAGCUUCCUCCAAAAUUCUAGGAUUUUGUCAUGUAGACUACGACAGCAAGGGCAUAACGGCUGGAAAGGUACUAUAAGAAAAACAGAAGGCUUAUGGCUGCAGCAUGCUUAUUGUCAAUUGAAAUUUGUUUCUUUUUUCUCACCUUUACUCUCUGAGUGUACGGCUGGUUAUAUUCACCGGAAGAAAUUCAUCUUCAGCUUUCAUCAAUUUCUGCUCAUCUCAUUUUAGACAUUAUUAGAUUCUAUUGUAGGAAUAUCUGUACACAACAUUGGUGCUUUCAUUGACCAUCGACAAAUAUGGCAGAUGGUAACCGACUCAAGUUACUCGAUAAAAAUGUCAAAGCCAUCCAAGAAUCGCAUGCGCAGCUCCGCAAAGACGUUGAUGGUAUUACUAAAUCCUUUGCUUCUCAACACCAGAUGCUGUAAGAAAUCCUAACUUGUCUGCCAGUUGUUUCCACGGAUUCACCUCCCAAAACAGGGCCACAUAUCGCAUCACAACCAACUGGUUCUUCCAUUGGCUCCCACAAACCCGUAUCGAUUCAGUUUGCCCGGUUUUCAGGAACAGGAUAGGCUUACCAUUGCUUCAUUCUAUCUUGAUGAUGAUGCUGCGGAGUGGAUUGAUUGGAUGUAUAGAAACAAACAAUUUUUCGGGUAGAUUCAUUUUAA